GACGAACGCUGGCGGCGUGCCUAAUACAUGCAAGUUGAGCGAUGAAGAUUGGUGCUUGCCCCAAUUUGAAGAGCAGCGAACGGGUGAGUAACGCGUGGGGAAUCUGCCUUUGAGCGGGGGACAACAUUUGGAAACGAAUGCUAAUACCGCAUAACAACUUUAAACAUAAGUUUUAAGUUUGAAAGAUGCAAUUGCAUCACUCAAAGAUGAUCCCGCGUUGUAUUAGCUAGUUGGUGAGGUAAAGGCUCACCAAGGCGAUGAUACAUAGCCGACCUGAGAGGGUGAUCGGCCACAUUGGGACUGAGACACGGCCCAAACUCCUACGGGAGGCAGCAGUAGGGAAUCUUCGGCAAUGGACGAAAGUCUGACCGAGCAACGCCGCGUGAGUGAAGAAGGUUUUCGGAUCGUAAAACUCUGUUGGUAGAGAAGAACGUUGGUGAGAGUGGAAAGCUCAUCAAGUGACGGUAACUACACAGAAAGGGACGGCUAACUACGUG
rnacentral:rRNA from 1 species